AUGAUUCACAAUUUCCCUACUCAUGGUUUGAAUUUAUGGAUGAUCAUACAAAAUUUUUAUGCCAGAUUGAAUUUUGCUUCUAGAAAUCUUUUAGAUACGGCCGCGGGAGCCAGUUUUAUGGAAAUCACCUUAGGAGAAGCUACUAAACUCCUUGAUAACAUUAUGGCCAAUUAUUCUCAAUGGCACACCGAAAGAUCUACUAGUAAGAAAGUGUAUGUUAUAGAAGAAAUUAAUGUUUUGAGUGGAAAGAUGGAUGAACUUAUGAAAUUGUUUGCUACUAAGAGUGCUCCUAUUGAUCCCAAUGAUAUGCCUUUGUCUACUUUGAUUGCGAAUAAUAAUGAAUCUAUGGAUGUGAAUUUUGUUGGUAGGAAUAAUUUUGGUAACAAUGCUUAUAGAGGAAACUUUAAUCCUAGACCAUUCCCUAGUAAUUCCUCUAAUAAUUAUGGAAAUUCCAACAAUAAUCCUUAUGGUAAUUUUAAUAAAAUGCCCUCUGAUUUUGAGAAUAGUGUUAACGAAUUUAUGAUCUCUCAAAAGAAUUUUAAUGCCUUGCUUGGAGAAAAAUUGCUUAAAGUUGAUGAUUUGGCUAGGAACGUUGAUAGACUUUCGCUUGAUGUUGAUUAUUUCAAAUUUAGAUCUACCCCUCUUAAGCAUGAUAUAAAUGAGUCUCUCAAAGCUAUGAGAAUUUCCAUUGAUGAGUGCAAGGAAAUAACCGCUAGAUUGCAUGCUAAGAAAGAUUGCUUUGUAAAGGCGUGUUCUUCUAGUUUCCAUGAAAAUAAUGAUGAAGAUCUAAAAGUUAUUGAUGUGUCCCCUAUUAAAUCCUUGUUUUGCAAUAUGAAUCUUAAUAAUGAUGGGACUGGAGAUGAGUCAACUUUAGUUAAAAGGCGUCCCAAUGAUUCGGAGUUCUUAGAUCUUGAUGGUAAAAUUGGUAAAAGUGGGAUUGGAGAGGUCAAGACUUUAAAUAGCAUUGAACCCACUAUCUUGGAUUUCAAGGAAUUUAAUUAUGAUAAUUGUUCUUUGGUAGAUUGUAUUUCCUUGUUGCAAUCCAUGUUGAAUUCUCCUCAUGCUUAUAGUCAAAAUAAAGCUUUUACCAAACACAUUGUUGAUGCCUUGAUGCAAUCUUAUGAUGAAAAACUUAAUUUGGAAGUUUCUAUACCUAGAAAAAUUUAUGAUGAGUGGGAACCUACUAUAAAGAUUAAAAUUAAAGAUCAUGAGUGCUAUGCAUUAUGUGAUUUGGUUGCAAGUGUUUUCACGAUUCUGAAAACUUUAUGUGAUAUUCUAGGUUUCCAUGAUCUUGAUGAUUGCUCUUUAAAUUUACACCUUGUGGAUUCCACCAUUAAGAAACCUAUGGGAAGGAUCAAUGAUGUUCUUAUUGUUGUAAAUAGGAAUUUUGUGCCCGUAGAUUUUAUCGUUCUUGAUAUAGAUUGCAAUCUUUCAUGUCCUAUUAUUCUUGGUAGACCUUUCCUUAGAACGAUUGGUGCGAUUAUUGAUAUGAAGGAAGGGAAUAUUAGAUUCCAAUUUCCAUUAAGGAAAGGCAUGGAGCACUUUCCAAGAAAGUUAAAUUACAUUACGAAUCUAUCAUGCGAGCUACUUAUGAAUUGA
rnacentral:rRNA from 1 species